GUUCUCCCGAAUAUCAAUAGAGCAUUUCAUGGAAUAUAACAGUCAUUGCUAUUGGUAACAGUCGAAGCAUAACAUGGUAUGUAUCAGUCCUUUCUCGAGGUCCUUAAUUCUAUGUGAAAUGGGCUAUUCUAUGUGGUCCUUUCUAUGUGAAAUGGGCUUCAGGGGCAAAGUGUUUUGAGCUUGGAAUUCUUCAGGGGUAAAGUGUUUUGAGUUUGGAAUUCUUCAGGGGUAAAGGGUUUUGAGCUUGGAAUUCUUCAGGGGGAAAGGGUUUUGAGCUUGGAAUUCUUCAGGGGUAAAGAGGUUUGACUUUGAAAUUUUUCAGAGCUUGGAAUUCUUCAGGGCUGAAGGGUUUUCAGCUUGGAAUUCUUCAGGGGUG
rnacentral:lncRNA from 1 species